rnacentral:lncRNA from 1 species
AUUGAAAGUGGCGCCAUCUAGACCCAGGAAAAAGCUACGGGGUGGGCGGGGUAAGCGGGGGACUCUUGGUAAAUGUGGAUAAUUUUGAACUGGGACACCAUUUUGUUUCCUUCCUAGAGCAUUGUAUGAUGUGGCCUGAAGGCUCUGGAAAGUCACAGAUCACACCCAGCAGGAGGUUCUUCAUGUGUGCCAGCCCCUGGCUGGGCCUGGGCAGCCUUGCCCCCAUCCUCUGGCCCCAGCUCCUGCCACCCCACCUGCAGACAAGGCUGCCAAAGGCUAGGGACAGGGCUCCAAGCUAGAGGCCGGCUUUUUGGAGAUGUGGCUGUGGGAGGGGAAUCCCAGGAAGUUGCAUAGAGAGGGAGUUUUUGCCAGCCUGGGUCACUGAUGGCCAGUCCGGGUCACUGAUGUCUCCCCAGGGGCAAGGGGACAGUGCCUGGCUAAUUGUGGGUUUCAAAAUCUGUCUGUUGAGGGGAUGCAGAGGUCAUCAUUGGGGGGUGAAGCUGAUGGUCCACAGAAGCUCUGGGCACAGGUUGGACCUCUUUCCUGCACAAAGAACCCUCCAGGGUGCCCAGUGGUUCUGGCCAGCGCCGGAGCCAGUGACGGUUGGCUUGUUCUGGCCUUCCUCCCCUUCUCACACAUGCAUUCUCUUGCACACGUGUCACACACAUUCCUACACACUCACACAAAUUCUCACACAAAUUCCCAGAAUCAAUCUCCCACAUACACAUCCAAGUCACACACUCAUUCUUACAUGCGAUUCACAGAUUCACACGAUUCACAGAUGCAACAGACUCACAGGCAUUCACUCUUACAUAUGACACAGUUGCACACUUGCACACACACACACACACACACACGCACUGCAAUCCCCUUGCAUCUCCACAGUGUCGAAGGCUGGCUGAACACCAAGGUGGCUCUUGGUGGCAGGACUUCUCAUGGGAGGGAAAGUCACAUAGCUGGAAGGUUACUAGCUUAGGGACAUAAUUUCCUUAUUGACUAUAAUCUCCUUAUAGAAAUUCAACAACUAUAGCAGAAAAUGGAGAAUGAGGACAUUUUAUUUCUCAAAGUCAACAGUUCCUUUUCUCCUGCACCUUCGGAGCAGGCUCCUGCCUGAGGCUGCUGAGGUGCUCUGGGUUCUCGCUGUUUGUUUUCAGCAUCCAGGUUCAGGCUUUUCUCAGUGCAUUUUCCUCGGCUGCCCUUGGACUUGUGUUGUCCGGGGUGGUGGCCACUGGCCCCCAGUGGCUACUGAGCAGGGAGAGCAGGGCCCCUCUGUGGUGAGGCGUGCUGCUCAGUGUAAAACACACACGAGAUUUUCCAGAUGCAGUACUCAAAAGCAUGUGAAACUCCUCAGUCAUCACUUAAAAUAUUGAUCACAGGUUGAAAUGAUUAUAUUUUAGAUACCUUAGGUUAAGUAAAAUAUAUUAUUGAAAUUUCACCUUCUUUUUGCUUUCUAAAAAUGUAGCUCUUAGGAACUUUGCAAUUACCUACAUGGCUAUUUGUGUGUUAUCUUCCUGCUGGGCAGUGUGAGACCUUCUCACAGAUCCUUCAGAAAUGUCAAAGGAAAAGCAAAAAUGGUGGAGAAGGCUGAGCACGUGGCCUCGCGGGAGGCCGGCUCAGAGCUGUUCUGAAGUUGCUUUUGUAACACAAUCUAUUCUCAAAGCUCCUUUUCUUUCAAUGGGGCAGGUUGGGGGUGGGGGGGGGGGGGAUAUUACACCUUGUAUUUUACUUCUCGAUUCAUUUUCUUUCCAUUUUAACUUUAAUUCCGUCUAAUUACUGUAUUGUGAGCUCAGUCAGCAAUCUUGCAUGAACUCUGCAGUAACUUCUGAAGACUCUUGCUCCAAGUGUUUGAUAAUGAGGAGAUGUGCAGGACUAAGGCGACUGUGUGAUGUCUGCACAGUUCGAAAGCCCGCUUUCCUGUUACUUUCAAAUCUCGGGUCAGCAUUUUGGAACUUUUCUGCUUUAAUUUUUCCACACACACCUCUCACUGCGACCACCUACCAUCACCACAACCCAAAACAAAGCAAACAAACAGAAAGCUUGAACAAGAAUUUACAUCUGGGAAAACGCUUCUACUCAUCAAGAGUGGAAUUCCUUUUUAUUCCUAUAAUUGACUCACAGCUUCAAAAAUCUGUGAAGUCAUACUUUGGUCACGGAAGUUGCAAGAAACCAUAUUUGCAAACGUUUUAUUUUAAAGAAGGUAUUUAAAAAUAUUUCACAUAUUAGCCACAGAUUUCUAGAAGUGAAGUUAUAAAAAUUAGAAAUUAUAUUUUGCCUUUUGAUGAUAGCAAGUGAAAAGAGAUUGCUCCAAGCAUGUUUUCAAUAAAUUCAGUAUAACUGCAACACAAAAAUUCUGCAUGCAGGCUUCAUACACACACGUUAUAAUUUUAUGCAUUUAUCUUGAGAGUUGUAUAAUUAAUUUUAAAAAUGCAACAGAAAUGUGAAGUUAAGUCUACUUUGCCAAUAAUGGAAAUGUCUCAUAGAUAAUUUUGAAUACAAUUAAAAUUUUGUUUUUAUCAUAAAAGG